AGAUUGGUGGAACAGCUGACAGUGAUGAAGCUGGCAGGCAAAAUGACCUGGCCGUGUGAGCGCAAGCAGGAGGCCGGCUGGAAAGGCAGAUGGGCAGGGACCUCGCGUGAGCAGGAGCCUGAACUGAGGAUGAAUCAGAGAGAGGUGUGAGUUUGCCUCCACCUGCCCAUCCAACGUUGAAGAAUACUUUCCAGCAGAGGAAGAGCCUGGAUUACUGACAGUGACCAGAGUCCCUGGUGGUAAGCAACAACCAGGAGAAAAGAGCAUUCUCACACCCAGCAGAGCCGCUCAGGGACACCCUGCCCACAGCCCACACACCAUUCCUUCACCACAGACAUGAGGGGAGCCACGGAGAACAGAAACCACGUUCCCAAACAGACGACGGCCCUUGCAACUGACAGAGGGGAUCUUCCCAACUCAAGGAUCGAACCCGGGUUUCCUGCAUUGCAUGCAGAUUCUUUAUCGACUGAGCUACAAGGGAAGCCCAUACUCCAUUUCAAAUGUGGUACAUGCUGAUUUCUUCUCAUCCCAAACUGGCUUCUUCUGGUCUUCUCCAUCCUAGCAAGUGCCAACUCCACUUUUUUCAAAGUUCAGUCCAAAACCUUAGAAUAUAUGCUUGACUCCUCUCUUUCCAUUGUACUCUGUAUCCAACCCAUCAGCAAACUCUGCUAGUCUGACCUUCAAAAUACACCCAGAAGAACCCAAUU